AGAGUUUGAUCCUGGCUCAGGAUGAACGCUGGCGGCGUGCUUAGCACAUGCAAGUCGAACGAUCCUUCGGGAUAGUGGCGGACGGGUGAGUAACGCGUGGGAAUCUGCCCUCAGGAGGGGGAUAACGGCUGGAAACGGCCGCUAAUACCCCAUAUGCCGAGAGGUGAAAUGAAUUUCGCCUGAGGAUGAGCCCGCGUCUGAUUAGCUAGUUGGUGGGGUAAAGGCCUACCAAGGCAACGAUCAGUAGCUGGUCUGAGAGGAUGAUCAGCCACACUGGGACUGAGACACGGCCCAGACUCCUACGGGAGGCAGCAGUGGGGAAUUUUCCGCAAUGGGCGAAAGCCUGACGGAGCAACGCCGCGUGAGGGAUGAAGGCCUCUGGGCUGUAAACCUCUUUUCUCAAGGAAGAAGACCUGACGGUACUUGAGGAAUAAGCCACGGCUAAAUUCCGUGCCAGCAGCCGCGGUAAUACGGGAGUGGCAAGCGUUAUCCGGAAUUAUUGGGCGUAAAGCGUCCGCAGGCGGCCUUGUAAGUCUGUUGUUAAAGCGUGGAGCUCAACUCCAUUUAAGCAAAGGAAACUACAAGGCUGGAGUGUGGUAGGGGCAGAGGGAAUUCCCGGUGUAGCGGUGAAAUGCGUAGAUAUCGGGAAGAACACCAGUGGCGAAGGCGCUCUGCUGGGCCAUAACUGACGCUCAUGGACGAAAGCCAGGGGAGCGAAAGGGAUUAGAUACCCCUGUAGUCCUGGCCGUAAACGAUGAACACUAGGUGUCGGGGGAAUCGACCCCCUCGGUGUCGUAGCCAACGCGUUAAGUGUUCCGCCUGGGGAGUACGCACGCAAGUGUGAAACUCAAAGGAAUUGACGGGGGCCCGCACAAGCGGUGGAGUAUGUGGUUUAAUUCGAUGCAACGCGAAGAACCUUACCAGGGUUUGACAUCCUGCGAACCCCUGAGAAAUCGGGGGGUGCCUUCGGGAGCGCAGAGACAGGUGGUGCAUGGCUGUCGUCAGCUCGUGUCGUGAGAUGUUGGGUUAAGUCCCGCAACGAGCGCAACCCACGUCUUUAGUUGCCAGCAUUCAGUUGGGCACUCUAGAGAGACCGCCGGUGAUAAACCGGAGGAAGGUGGAUGACGUCAAGUCAUCAUGCCCCUUACAUCCUGGGCUACACACGUACUACAAUGCUACGGACAAAGGGCAGCAAGCUCGCGAGAGUUAGCAAAUCCCAUAAACCGUGGCUCAGUUCAGAUCGUAGGCUGCAACUCGCCUACGUGAAGGAGGAAUCGCUAGUAAUCGCAGGUCAGCAUACUGCGGUGAAUACGUUCCCGGGCCUUGUACACACCGCCCGUCACACCAUGGAAGUUGGCCAUGCCCGAAGUCGUUACUCCAACCCUUGUGGAGGAGGACGCCGAAGGUGGGGCUGAUGACUGGGGUGAAGUC
rnacentral:rRNA from 1 species